rnacentral:lncRNA from 1 species
AUGUAUGCUAUGUUCUACAGGGCAAAAAUGACCCAAACAAAACAAGCCUUAAGAAGCAAAGUGAAUUUCAAAGACAAUCUGAAACGAAGAGUGAACAUUCAAACAACGAAGAGGAAGCAUAUCCCUUCUUUGAACUCAGAGUUCAGUAUGAACUGGCAAUACUUUCUUUCAGACCGUUCCUCACAAUUAAGUACAGCACUGAUGAAAACUCAGAGAGGAGAUCAAUGACGUGUCCUGGAAAGAGUUUGAACCCAUAAUGGAACAAUCAAGAGCAAAGGCUUUCUAAACAUGGGACUCAGAGGGAUCAAAAGAAUUACUUCAACAGCUGUUUAUUUACCAGUGAAGGUACUUGUUUUAUUAUGCUACUGAGAGCAAAGAACUAGGGCUGCUACCUGGUUGGUUAUUUUCAUAACUGUACUAUCACCAUCAGUAGCUGAGACAAGUUUCUCAACAGAAACAAACAAACAAAAAAAGGCCAGACUCUCACUUGCCUACAGCUAUCUGGGUCGAGGCAACAGAAUCAUGGUUAUUUUUUCUCUUCUUGUCUGCAGCUCUCUCCUACAGAAUGGAGGAACCUGCCUCUCUGCUGUGGAGCUUGGCUGCACUGUCCAUUGCAUGGGGUGUCUCAGCUCCCAGACAGGAUCCUCUGCUUUACCUUACUCAGAAAGAGUUCCAGUAAUCUUGUUUUGAUAUGUCCCAGGACAGGACCUCAGUCUGUGUGAUCUCAGUGGGGUAAAUUAUAGCUGAGAGCUUUUGAAAGGCAAGUUAGUUUAGUUAUGCCACACAGCUGAGUUUUAUUGACAGGAGACAGGCUGAAAAUGGAAAGUUUUGUUUACAUUUCAUAUAUUCUGUGCUAUUUCACUUAUUGGGAAUGAGCAGAAUAAUACAUGCUUGGCUUUGUUUCCUUGUGUAAUUUACUGAAAAUUGAUUACUUUCUGAUCAAAAACUGAGAGGACACAACUGUCCAUCUAAUUCCGUGCUUAGAUGCUUAUAAGUAAUGGGCUUGAGAAGCCCAGACACUGGAAUUUGUAUCUCUAGUCCAAGAGAUCACAUAAGGA